CCUGAUGCAGCGACGCCGCGUGUACGAUGAAGAUCUUCGGAUUGUAAAGUACUGUCCUUGGGUGAAGAUAAUGACUGUAACCAAGAAGCAAGCUCUGGCUAUAUACGUGCCAGCAGCCGCGGUAAUACGUAUGGGGCAAGCGUUGUCCGGAAUUAUUGGGCGUAAAGGGUACGUAGGCGGUUAUUUAAGUCUAAAUUAAAAGGCAUUGGCUCAACCAAUGUAAGGUUUAGAUACUGGAUAACUUGUGAUGAUGUGGGGUGAGAUGGAUAAUUCCUGUGUAGCGGUGAAUGCGUAGAUAUAUGGAGGACACCAAUGGCGAAGGCAACUUUCUGGAAUCAAACUGACGCUGAGGUACGAAGGCGUGGGGAGCAAACAGGAUUAGAUACCCUGGUAGUCCACGCAGUAAACGAUGAGUGCUAGAUGUUGGGAGUCAAAUCUCAGUGUCGCAGCUAACGCAAUAAGCACUCCGCCUGGGGAGUACGUACGCAAGUAUGAAACUCAAAGGAAUUGACGGGGACCCGCACAAGCAGCGGAGCAUGUGGUUUAAUUCGAAGCAACGCGAAGAACCUUACCAAGGCUUGACAUAUACAUGAAAAUCCUAGAGAUAGGAUCCUCUCUUCGGAGACAUGUAUACAGGUGGUGCAUGGUUGUCGUCAGCUCGUGUCGUGAGAUGUUGGGUUAAGUCCCGUAACGAGCGCAACCCUCGUCUUUAGUUACCAGCAAGUAAAGUUGGGGACUCUAGAGAUACUGCCGGGUGAUAAACCGGAGGAAGGUGGGGAUGACGUCAAAUCAUCAUGCCCUAUAUGUCUUGGGCUACACACGUGCUACAAUGGUCUGAACAAAGCGCAGCACACUCGUGAGGGUAAGCAAAUCGCAGAAAACAGAUCUCAGUUCGGAUUGUAGGCUGCAACUCGCCUACAUGAGGUCGGAGUUGCUAGUAAUCGUGGAUCAGAAUUGCCACGGUGAAUACGUU
rnacentral:rRNA from 1 species